UCUAGGUUGCGUAUCGUGAGCUAAUGCUUGUGCCUCAUCCGUUUUCCCAACAACAAAAUUUAUAUCAUAUGUACGUAAUCUGGCAGCCAAUGUCUUAACACCGUCUUUUGAAUUUAUUGUUAAUUCUCUUCUAGUACAUUACUCCCGUAGCGCAUCUAAUUGCCAGUCAUUAUAGUCAGUCAUCCUGACACUACAAUUUACUAAUAACACUUCGCAGCCUUGAUUAUCCCACCACUGCCACCAAUUGUGACGAUUUCUAUCGCCGACGUGGGCGCUGCAGUUCACAAUUACCUAAGUCAAUAAAACCCAAUGUACUACAAUUAACAUAAAAGUUAAUUCUGUAAUUACUAAGAGUUAUCUACAUGUAAUUUCCUAAAGUAUUUUUUUAACAAACCCGAGUCCAACAGACUGUAGCUCUUUCUUCAGCUAGCCCACAGCGCUUAAUAUUCCGCGUAGUAUCAAACACAUAACAGCGUCGUAUCUUGUUUGUUUAGAAUUUUAGCGGCUGUGUCUUAUAAACAAAAUCGUGACCAAACUUGCUGACAACCUGAACAUUCUUAAAUCGCUUCGAAGUGGUUUUCUGUCGAUCUCAAAUGAACUUGGGCGUAUAUAGUCAGACAACUUCAGUAUACUUCCAACAAAAGCAAGAUGUCUUUCCAAGUUGUUCUUCUCCUGAAGGUCUUCGUCGGUUUUUAAAUGUUUAGGAACACCUUCCUUGCUUGUCCUGUUUUUUCUCUGCUCGCUUCAAACUCUGGGCUCCUUAC